rnacentral:rRNA from 1 species
UACGUAGGGGGCUAGCGUUGUCCGGAUUUAUUGGGCGUAAAGAGCGUGUAGGCGGCCAGGUAGGUCUGCUGUGAAAACUCGAGGCUCAACCUCGAGACGUCGGCGGAAACCAUCUGGCUAGAGUACGGAAGAGGCAAGUGGAAUUCCUGGUGUAGCGGUGGAAUGCGCAGAUAUCAGGAGGAACACCCAUAGCGAAGGCAGCUUGCUGGGACGUUACUGACGCUAAGGCGCGAAAGCGUGGGGAGCGAACAGG